rnacentral:siRNA from 1 species
CUACUUGGCAUGUGGUGAAGAGC